rnacentral:rRNA from 1 species
AAAAACGACUCUCGGCAACGGAUAUCUCGGCUCACGCAUCGAUGAAGAACGUAGCAAAAUGCGAUACUUGGUGUGAAUUGCAGAAUCCCGUGAAUCAUCGAGUUUUUGAACGCAAGUUACGCCCAAAACCAUCCGGUUGAGGGCACGCCUGCCUGGGCGUC